rnacentral:lncRNA from 1 species
CUUCCCGCCCCCGCGUGCCUACAAUCAGCCCCAGUCUCCCCGGGAAACAGACGAGCGCACCUGAGCUGAGUUCUGAGCUCCAGCGUUUGGGGCUAGAAGUUGCGGACUAGUAGCUGAGGCAGCACGGGAGUGUAGGCGCGCGGGGUCGUUGCCGGGGGCACAGAGUGAGAACAAGCAAGGGAGCCCUGCUGAAUUGCAGCUUAGGAAGCCCUGAAUCCUGGAGGAUCCUGCUCCUUCUGUGGAUUAACAAGACAGCAUGUAGAAUCACAGCUCUUGUUUCAUGAAGUUUGUUAAGUAAUUUGAACAAAGAUAUGUUCCUGACCUUUCCUUCUUGAAGGGACAGCUGUGUAACCAUUCAACCAUCUGGCCAUCAGUUUCCACAUCUGUGAAAUCAACUUCUGCCUCAUGGAGCCAUGAGUGCCCAAGCAGUGAAGGCAGUGAGGAGCUGUGGUGUGAUCCAGGAGGCUGAGAAUUAUGCAGUGGGUGCUGUCACCUUGAAGACAUCAGCGUGAUCAGGCAGAUCAUCAUGGUACUGCAUUUCCUGGACACGAUCUUAAUUUUCUUAAUACCUCCGCUGACAUUUCAAAUAGCGUCU